GACGAACGCUGGCGGCGUGCUUAACACAUGCAAGUCGAACGAAGUGGCGUACGGGUGAGUAACGCGUAGUCAACCUGCCCUUCGGGGGGGGACAACAGUUGGAAACGACUGCUAAUACCGCAUACUGAAGGCGGGGAUUGCGUCUGAUUGGGUAGUUGGAGGGGUAACGGCCCACCAAGGCGAUGAUCAGUAGCCGGUGUGAGAGGAUGAACGGCCACAUUGGGACUGAGACACGGCCCAGACUCCUACGGGAGGCAGCAGGGGGGAAUCGUUCGUAAUGGACGAAAGUCCGACGGAGCAAAGCCGCGUGAGUGAUGACGGCCUUCGGGGUGGAAAGCUCUGUUAAGCGGGACGCGGUACCGGAAGAGAAAGCAACGGCUAACUACGUGCCAGCAGCCGCGGUAAUAC
rnacentral:rRNA from 1 species